GACGGAAGUCCCAAAUAAUUUCCACUAGAAAGAUCAUUUGUAACUCCAAGGAUAUUCAUAACUUCCAGUUGCUUGUCUCUGCGGACGUUGGAACUAAAGAAAAUGCCUGACUUUUAAAAAUUAACGGCUUGACCAGAUAAGAGUUCAUAAGUAUUCAGAAUCCCCUUUCUUUUUUUUGCUUCAUCAUGCUCAGCUCUAAAGAAUAGGAAGC
rnacentral:lncRNA from 1 species